UCGCGCGUUCAGAUCUAUGUGAGGGAAAGUUUAAAAGCUGUGGAAGUAUCGAAAGGGUACAACCGCGUACUUUUUGUAGAACGGUCCGGCGAGUUACGGCGGCUGGCGAGGUUAAGCACUACAGGUGUGGAGCCGAAGGGAAACCAAGUCUUAAUAGGGCGUCCAGUCAGCCGGAGUAGACCCGAAACCGGGUGAUCUAUCCAUGUCCAGGAUGAAGUUGCCGUAAAAGGCAAUGGAGGUCCGAACGCACAUCUGUUGAAAAAGGUGGCGAUGAGGUGUGGAUAGGGGAGAAAUUCCAAUCGAACCCGGAGAUAGCUGGUUCUCCUCGAAAUAGCUUUAGGGCUAGCCCUGUGACAGUCAGACGGAGGUAGAGCACUGAAUUUCCUAGGGGGCGUCAAAGUCUACCGAAGAAUAUCAAACUCCGAAUGCCGUAAUGAUGAUUCACAGGAGUCAGACUGCACGAGAUAAGUUGGGUAGUCAAAAGGGAAAGAGCCCAGACCUACAGCUAAGGUCCCAAAGUGCGUGUUAAGUGGAAAAGGAUGUGGGAUUUCGAAGACAACUAGGAUGUUGGCUCAGAAGCAGCCAUCCAUUCAAAGAGUGCGUAAUAGCUCACUAGUCGAGAGGUCCUGCGCCGAAAAUGUCCGGGGCUAAAACACGACACCGAAGCUUAGGAAUAUACAUUGUAUAUUGGUAGAGGAGCAAUCUUAACGGGAAGAAGCAGUACUGUAAGGUGCUGUGGACUGUUAAGAAGAGAGAAUGCCGGAAUGAGUAGCGAGAUGGAGGUGGGAAUCCUCCAGGCCGAAUAUCCAAGGUUUCCAGGGUAAAGCUGAUCUGCCCUGGGGAAGUCGGGGCCUAAGGCGAGGUCGAAAGACGUAGCUGAUGGACAACAGGUUGAUAUUCCUGUACUAUCAUAUGACAGAACUGUGGGGACGCAGAAAGAGAGCCUGAGCCGGGAAAGGGAAAACCGGUGCAAGCGGGGUAGGAGUCGUGCAGGCAAAUCCGCACGGCAAUCCGAAGACGUGAUGCGGAGCGAAUUAAAGUAGCGAAGCAGGUGAGCUGGCUGCCAAGAAAAGCCGCUAUUGUUCAUAUGAUACCCGUACCGUAAACCGACACAGGUGGAUGAGGAGAGAAUCCUAAGGCCGGCGGGAGAAGCAUUGUUAAGGAACUCGGCAAAAUGACCCCGUAACUUCGGGAGAAGGGGUGCCUGCGAGAGCAGGCCGCAGAGAAUAGGCUCAAGCAACUGUUUAGCAAAAACACAGGUCUAUGCGAAACCGAAAGGUGAGGUAUAUGGGCUGACGCCUGCCCGGUGCUGGAAGGUUAAGAGGAGAGGUUAGCGGUAACGCGAAGCUUUGAAUUUAAGCCCCAGUAAACGGCGGCCGUAACUAUAACGGUCCUAAGGUAGCGAAAUUCCUUGUCGGGUAAGUUCCGACCCGCACGAAAGGCGUAAUGAUUUGAGCGCUGUCUCGACAAUGCAUCCGGUGAAAUUGAAGUACCAGUGAAGAUGCUGGUUACCUGCGCCAGGACGGAAAGACCCCAUGGAGCUUUACUCCAGUCUGGUACUGGGACUCGGUAUUGCAUGUACAGGAUAGGUGGGAGGCUAGGAGAUGGUAACGCCAGUUGCCAUGGAGCCGCUGUUGGGAUACCACCCUUGCAGUAUUGGGUUUCUAACCAGCCGCCGUGACCCGGCGGUGGGACAAUGCCAGACGGGGAGUUUGACUGGGGCGGUCGCCUCCGAAAGGGUAUCGGAGGCGCCCAAAGGUUCCCUCAGAAUGGACGGAAACCAUUCGAAGAGUGCAAAGGCAGAAGGGAGCUUGACUGCGACACCGACGGGUGGAGCAGGUACGAAAGUAGGGCUUAGUGAUCCGGUGGUAUUAAGUGGGAAUGCCAUCGCUCAACGGAUAAAAGCUACCCUGGGGAUAACAGGCUUAUCACUCCCAAGAGUUCACAUCGACGGAGUGGUUUGGCACCUCGAUGUCGGCU
rnacentral:rRNA from 1 species